rnacentral:rRNA from 1 species
CCUACGGGAGGCAGCAGUGAGGAAUAUUGGUCAAUGGACGCAAGUCUGAACCAGCCAUGCCGCGUGCAGGAAGACGGCUCUAUGAGUUGUAAACUGCUUUUGUACGAGGGUAAACGCAGAUACGCGUAUCUGUCUGAAAGUAUCGUACGAAUAAGGAUCGGCCAACUCCGUGCCAGCAGCCGCGGUAAUACGGAGGAUUCAAGCGUUAUCCGGAUUUAUUCGGUGUAAAGGGUGCGUAGGCGGUCGGAUAAGUUAGAGGUGAAAUCCCGAGGCUCAACUUCGGAAUUGCCUCUGAUACUGUUCGGCUAGAGAGUAGUUGCGGUAGGCGGAAUGUAUGGUGUAGCGGUGAAAUGCUUAGAGAUCGUACAGAACACCGAUUGCGAAGGCAGCUUACCAAGCUACUUCUGACGUUGAGGCACGAAGGCGUGGGGAGCGAACAGGAUUAGAUACCCGAGUAGUC